rnacentral:sRNA from 1 species
UCCUAAACCCGACAGCCGCGGCAGCCCCCGAUUUUUCAUCGGGGCUAAAGCAAACGGCGGGGCUGCUG